rnacentral:tRNA from 1 species
AUUUUAGUAGCUUAAUUAAUAGAGCAGUGCUUUGAAGCUGCAUUGGUGAAAACUUUUCUUAAAAUA